AUUCAUGACUGCAUCUUCUAGUCUGCUGGUUGAUAAGAAGAUAAAACGAAUUCUUGAUGUAACUACAGUUAAAACUUAAAUGAAAUAUGAAAUAUGUAUUUCUUUCCUUGCAUAGAAACCUAAGAGCAUAUAUUCUAAUUAUUAUUUGAAAAUCUGGGCUUCCCAUGUCCUUGUAUGCCAUAUAUUUUUAAUAUUCUGUCAUAAUAUCAUUAAAGUCCUAUUGUUGAUAAUUUGUGGAAAACUUGGCUGCAUUGGAAUCAAUGGAAAUUUUUUGUGUUAUGAUUAUCAUGUAAUAGUUGAUGGCCUAGAUUAAUAUGUCAAAGGCUUUUGGGUUUGA
rnacentral:misc_RNA from 1 species